ACUCAAAUGAAUUGACGGGGACCCGCACAAGCGGUGGAUUAUGUGGAUUAAUUCGAUGCAACGCGAAAAACCUUACCUACCCUUGACAUGUACGGAAUCCUCCAGAGACGGAGGGGUGCCCGAAAGGGAACCGUAACACAGGUGCUGCAUGGCUGUCGUCAGCUCGUGUCGUGAGAUGUUGGGUUAAGUCCCGCAACGAGCGCAACCCUUGCCAUUAGUUGCUACAUUUAGUUGGGCACUCUAAUGGGACUGCCGGUGACAAACCGGAGGAAGGUGGGGAUGACGUCAAGUCCUCAUGGCCCUUAUGGGUAGGGCUUCACACGUAAUACAAUGGCCGGUACAGAGGGCUGCCAACCCGCAAGGGGGAGCUAAUCCCAGAAAGCCGGUCGUAGUCCGGAUUGCAGUCUGCAACUCGACUGCAUGAAGCCGGAAUCGCUAGUAAUCGCGGAUCAGCAUGUCGCGGUGAAUACGUUCCCGGGUCUUGUACACACCGCCCGU
rnacentral:rRNA from 1 species